UACGGGGGGGGCAAGCGUUGUUCGGAAUUACUGGGCGUAAAGGGCGCGUAGGCGGUUUGCUAAGUCGAAUGUGAAACUCUGGGCUUAACCCAGAGCCUGCAUUCGAUACUGGCAGGCUAGAGUUCUGGAGGGGAUAGCGGAAUUCCUGGUGUAGCGGUGAAAUGCGUAGAUAUCAGGAGGAACACCGGUGGCGAAGGCGGCUAUCUGGACAGAGUCUGACGCUGAGGCGCGAAAGCUAGGGGAGCAAACAGG
rnacentral:rRNA from 1 species